UCCUCGCGAUGUUCAAUCUACUUAAUUCCUGGUGAUUGCCAUAAUGAUAACUGUUCAUUGCAGUCGAAUCAUCAGUUGGGAAUUCUCACUCGUACGUGAUGUUCACACGCAUUUCGCGAUUAUUUAAUUCAUCUAUAUUCGUGAACGUGACUAAAUUCUGUCUGUCGGUUUUUAUUUCAUUUAUUUCACUGAGUGCUUUAUCCAAUUCUGUCUUAUCACACCCGGAUUUAAUUGAAAGCAAAAAAUUUAUUUUGAGGAUUCAAUACCAUUUGUCUUGGAAAUAUCUGCGAAACUUAUACAGAUUCAAUGAAAAAUUGGGCACCGAUGAGCGAUUCGACACCGAUGGGGCGUUGCUAAUGGAGCAACCGCCUGUAGCGACAUGGUUUUUUCUGUGGUUUCCCAUGUCACUCCUAUGUUCUACGGGAGAGUGAAUACGGUACAGUGUAGGAUCGGCAGCCGCAUACAUAGGGUGAGAUAGGGUCAAUUAGCCAGAACAGGGCAGAAUUUAUUAGGAUUUCUCUCUUCUUGGAGAGGAAUACUUUUUUUAUAGAUUUAAAACGUUGAAAUUGUUUAAACGACAGCGUAAUCAAUUUCUUCGAAUUGAUUCAAUUAUUUUAAAUAAAUAUUCCUUUGUGACAAAUUUUCUUGAUGAAUCGCUCCACUUGAUUAAUAGGCAAUGAAUAACCAAUGACGAAUCAAUGAUAAAUAUAAGGUCGUAGUCGUAGACAUUUUUUUUAUUAGAAUAUAUAUAUUACAUUGCAACAUAAACAAAAUAAUAAAAUCAUGUUAAAGAAAUUCUCUUACAUUAAAAACAAUUACAUUCGGAAUGGCUCAUGCUAAAUAGGUAAUUUAGAUAUGCAAUAUUUUUAUUAACGACUGGAAAUUUGUUAUGUAAUACAAGAGCUUCCAGUUUCUAUUUUAAACAUAUCCCUCACUUACUCAAUAUCGAAAUGACUAUUCCUAGUGAUGUUUAUGUUCAUCCACCAAAAAUAAAAAAUAUCAAAAUGUAAAGUAAUUGUCACCCUUUUCUAUCGUUGUUAUCUUGUGGUUUUUAUUACUAUGACUCGUGGUAAAAAAUCACUUGUGAUGUUUCAUGCUACGUGGAUUAUACAAUCGCGAAAUCAUAAAAUAGUCCGAUAGCCGAAAGCACAUUUAUAGGAAUUUAUUUUCCGAAAAAACGUGCGGAUUUUUUUU